GGGAGCUUGCUCCCUGAUGUUAGCGGCGGACGGGUGAGUAACACGUGGGUAACCUGCCUGUAAGACUGGGAUAACUCCGGGAAACCGGGGCUAAUACCGGAUGGUUGUUUGAACCGCAUGGUUCAAACAUAAAAGGUGGCUUCGGCUACCACUUACAGAUGGACCCGCGGCGCAUUAGCUAGUUGGUGAGGUAACGGCUCACCAAGGCAACGAUGCGUAGCCGACCUGAGAGGGUGAUCGGCCACACUGGGACUGAGACACGGCCCAGACUCCUACGGGAGGCAGCAGUAGGGAAUCUUCCGCAAUGGACGAAAGUCUGACGGAGCAACGCCGCGUGAGUGAUGAAGGUUUUCGGAUCGUAAAGCUCUGUUGUUAGGGAAGAACAAGUACCGUUCGAAUAGGGCGGUACCUUGACGGUACCUAACCAGAAAGCCACGGCUAACUACGUGCCAGCAGCCGCGGUAAUACGUAGGUGGCAAGCGUUGUCCGGAAUUAUUGGGCGUAAAGGGCUCGCAGGCGGUUUCUUAAGUCUGAUGUGAAAGCCCCCGGCUCAACCGGGGAGGGUCAUUGGAAACUGGGGAACUUGAGUGCAGAAGAGGAGAGUGGAAUUCCACGUGUAGCGGUGAAAUGCGUAGAGAUGUGGAGGAACACCAGUGGCGAAGGCGACUCUCUGGUCUGUAACUGACGCUGAGGAGCGAAAGCGUGGGGAGCGAACAGGAUUAGAUACCCUGGUAGUCCACGCCGUAAACGAUGAGUGCUAAGUGUUAGGGGGUUUCCGCCCCUUAGUGCUGCAGCUAACGCAUUAAGCACUCCGCCUGGGGAGUACGGUCGCAAGACUGAAACUCAAAGGAAUUGAC
rnacentral:rRNA from 1 species